GGAUGAACGCUGGCGGCGUGCCUAAUACAUGCAAGUCGAGCGAACAGAUGAGGAGCUUGCUCCUCUGACGUUAGCGGCGGACGGGUGAGUAACACGUGGAUAACCUACCUAUAAGACUGGGAUAACUUCGGGAAACCGGAGCUAAUACCGGAUAAUAUAUUGAACCGCAUGGUUCAAUAGUGAAAGACGGUUUUGCUGUCACUUAUAGAUGGAUCCGCGCCGCAUUAGCUAGUUGGUAAGGUAACGGCUUACCAAGGCAACGAUGCGUAGCCGACCUGAGAGGGUGAUCGGCCACACUGGAACUGAGACACGGUCCAGACUCCUACGGGAGGCAGCAGUAGGGAAUCUUCCGCAAUGGGCGAAGGCCUGACGGAGCAACGCCGCGUGAGUGAUGAAGGUCUUCGGAUCGUAAAACUCUGUUAUUAGGGAAGAACAAAUGUGUAAGUAACUAUGCACGUCUUGACGGUACCUAAUCAGAAAGCCACGGCUAACUACGUG
rnacentral:rRNA from 1 species